AGGACGAACGCUGGCGGCGUGCUUAACACAUGCAAGUCGAACGGAAAGGCCCGCUUGCGGGUACUCGAGUGGCGAACGGGUGAGUAACACGUGGGCAACCUGCCCUCAGCUCUGGGAUAACUCCGGGAAACCGGUGCUAAUACUGGAUAUCGACUUCUGCCUCGCAUGGGGUGUUGUUGAAAGUUUUUCGGCUGGGGAUGGGCCCGCGGCCUAUCAGCUUGUUGGUGGGGUGAUGGCCUACCAAGGCGACGACGGGUAGCCGGCCUGAGAGGGCGACCGGCCACACUGGGACUGAGACACGGCCCAGACUCCUACGGGAGGCAGCAGUGGGGAAUUUUGGACAAUGGGCGCAAGCCUGAUCCAGCCAUGCCGCGUGCGGGAAGAAGGCCUUCGGGUUGUAACCGCUUUGUCAGGGAGAACGCUUCGGGUUAAUACCUUGGAGUAAUGACGGUACCUGAAGAAUAAGCACCGGCUAACUACGUGCCAGCAGCCGCGGU
rnacentral:rRNA from 1 species